UCCUCCCCGAGCCGGCUCUAGGGGUGCCAGCGCCUCCAAGGCGCGACUGUGCUAGGCUGUUGUGCUCGCUCUACGAACGCUAGGAGUCACUGCCCAGCCUUUACUGUCCAGAAGACGAGGUCUGAAAGUAUGAAAAGUCUCUUGACCUCCACCGGCCCGCUGCGUUUCCCUAGCAGAGGAACCUGGAGCUGUACGGCAGGCUUGAACUCCUGCCCUGAGCUCCUGGCCCUCCUCCACUUCUUUACCUCUCAGAGCCUUAUCCGGACACCUACACUAGCACCACCCCAGAAGCCAGGGCCUCAUGUCCUUGAACCCUGAUGGGCUGCAUGAAUUAGUUCCAAUUUGUAAUCCACUUCCAGAAUCCUUGCUGCCCCUGAAAAAUACACUGCCCACCUGUUCGUGGCUGCUGUUAGAUACUUACAUGAGGGCGGCACAGUCAGAGUACUAACAAGCCUGCAGUGCCCUCCACAAUGGGUAUAAAACUCAAAACUCAAAAUGGAUAUUCUGGAAUGAACUCGUGUUCGAAUCAGGAGGAAUUUGGACAUCCUUUAGUCUGCAACACCUGUUCCAUACUAGAAGAGACCCAAAGACAGAAAGUAACUUACUCAGUUAUCCAACAGGGGAUUGGGCAAUCUGGUCCACUGUGCCACACCACUCUAUGAAGCAGGUAGCUGGCCACUGCAGCAAGCAGAGGACUACUACGUCAAUGCUACAGUUCCACUGGCCCACAGUGGUUAGGAUUUCACCCAGGAACAGAUGACACAUUGCAGUUAGGAAAUUUAUGUGUGGGGUGCCAAAGUAAACCGCAGAGAUGAAGAAGUAACCUGGGGCUAGUACAACAGGGAGGCCCAUUGUCAACCCAAGGCUUCAAGUCUAGAAGCAGGAUUUCCAGGAUCCAAAAAACAGAGAGUAAGGAGAAACUUCCUGCCUGGGCAAAUGUUAUUAGUGAUCCCACUGGAGGGAGCUGGGUUCUAAGCAUCCCAACCUCCCCUCUCCUGCUAGGUUUCUGCAGGGGCUGAAGUCGUUGGGCCACAGGCCUAAGGAGCCCUUUAAGUCACUCCCUACUGGUGACACCUGAGGACACAGCAUGGUGGGAAAGAGGGUAGAGGAAAAAUUAGAAGACAAGCAGCACGCAUAACUCACUAAGACUUUGCUGAACAGAAAGUAAAGCCAUAUUAUCUGGAAGAUGCAGGGAAAUGGAGUGUUCAGAGGCAAGGCUAUGUAUGAGCAGACCAGCCAACAUUUGCCAGUGUAGAGCAAGACACCAAAAGAGAUUUCAUCAUCCAGAGCUUGAUCUGUUGUGUACCAAGUUCACUUACUCAGAUUGUUAUAGCUAUUCUUUCUCUGGAACUUAUCAAGAACAGAACUUUGCUUUUUAUUUCUUUGAAAUCCCUUCACACCACCCAAUAUGGUAUGAUUGACUCUCCGGCAGUUAGGUGAUUUUGCCCCCGGGGUCAGAAGGGAAUCUGGUCUCCAUUGUCCUGCUCUGCAAACCUGGGAAAAUGUGGAAGGCCAAGUUUGGCUUUUGGAACUCUUUCAGAAACACUCCUCAGUUAUAACUUGGCAAGUAGGAGCAGGGAUCAAACUCGGGGCCUUAUCAGGCUUGCGAGGCAGGCAGCAGAACCACUGAGCUAAAUCCCCGGCCCAACCUAACACUUUUAAAGACCGGGAAGUCCAACAUUCCAAGGCAGUGGGCCCCAGCCAGUGUUAUGAAAUAGGUGAUGGGGCAGCCAAGGAGCCAGAUAUUCCACCCUAUGUGUGAGAAAUUUAAUUAGAUGCAAGAAUUUCAGUACUGGCAAUUGAACCCAGGACAUUGUACAUGCUAGACAAGUGUUCUACCAUUGAGCUACAUCCUCGGCCCUUUUUUAAAUUUUUGAGACACAGUCUCACUGAACUACAAUCCUCCUGUGUCAGCCCCUUGAGUAAUUAGGAUUACAGGAUUGUGCCACCAGAUCCAGCUCCUUUUUUUUUUUUUAAGGACUUUAAUUCUAACUCCUUUUAGUUAGGACUAUAAUAAAAACAAAUUUUAAAAUCCCCCAAUUUAUGGGCCAAGGAUGUAGCUCAGCAGCACAGCGCCUGCCUGACAGGGCAAAGCCCUGAGUU
ensembl:lncRNA